GAUGAAGAAACGCAGCGAAAUGCGAUAAGUAAUGUGAAUUGCAGAAUUCAGUGAAUCAUCGAAUCUUUGAACGCACAUUGCGCCCGCUAGUAUUCUGGCGGGCAUGCCUGUCCGAGCGUCAUUUCAACCCUCAAGCCCCCGGGCUUGGUGUUGGGGAUCGGCGAGCCUCCGCGCCCGCCGUCCCCUAAAUCUAGUGGCGGUCUCGCUGUAGCUUCCUCUGCGUAGUAGCACACCUCGCACUGGGAAACAGCGCGGCCACGCCGUUAAACCCCCAACUUCUGAACGUUUGACCUCGGAUCAGGUAGGAAUACCCGCUGAACUUAAGCAUAUCAAUAAGCGGAGGA
rnacentral:misc_RNA from 1 species